rnacentral:rRNA from 1 species
UACGUAGGGGGCAAGCGUUGUCCGGAUUUAUUGGGCGUAAAGAGCGUGUAGGCGGCCUGAAAGGUCAGCUGUGAAAACUCGAGGCUCAACCUCGAGACGUCGGUUGAAACCAUCUGGCUAGAGUCCGGAAGAGGAGAGUGGAAUUCCCGGUGUAGCGGUGAAAUGCGCAGAUAUCGGGAAGAACACCCGUGGCGAAGGCGGCUCUCUGGGGACGGUACUGACGCUGAGACGCGAAAGCGUGGGGAGCGAACGAGG